rnacentral:rRNA from 1 species
ACUCCUACGGGAGGCAGCAGUGGGAAUAUUGCACAAUGGGCGCAAGCCUGAUGCAGCCAUGCCGCGUGUGGUGAAGAAGGCCCUUCGGGUUGUAAAGCACUUUCAGUUGUGAGGAAGGUUGGUGUCGUUAAUAGCGGCAUCCAUUUGACGUUAGCAACAGAAGAAGCACCGGCUAACUCCGUGCCAGCAGCCGCGGUAAUACGGAGGGUGCGAGCGUUAAUCGGAAUUACUGGGCGUAAAGCGCAUGCAGGUGGUUUGUUAAGUCAGAUGUGAAAGCCCGGGGCUCAACCUCGGAACUGCAUUUGAAACUGGCAGACUAGAG